rnacentral:rRNA from 1 species
AUUGAACGCUGGCGGCAGGCCUAACACAUGCAAGUCGGACGGUAGCACAGGGGAGCUUGCUCCUCGGGUGACGAGUGGCGGACGGGUGAGUAAUGUCUGGGGAUCUGCCCGAUAGAGGGGGAUAACCACUGGAAACGGUGGCUAAUACCGCAUAAUGUCGCAAGACCAAAGAGGGGGACCUUCGGGCCUAUCACUAUCGGAUGAACCCAGAUGGGAUUAGCUAGUAGGCGGGGUAACGGCCCACCUAGGCGACGAUCCCUAGCUGGUCUGAGAGGAUGACCAGCCACACUGGAACUGAGACACGGUCCAGACUCCUACGGGAGGCAGCAGUGGGGAAUAUUGCACAAUGGGCGCAAGCCUGAUGCAGCCAUGCCGCGUGUAUGAAGAAGGCCUUCGGGUUGUAAAGUACUUUCAGCGGGGAGGAAGGCGAUGUGGUUAAUAACCGCGUCGAUUGACGUUACCCGCAGAAGAAGCACCGGCCAACUCCGUGCCAGCAGCCGCCGUAA